UGCUCCUGGAUUCAGCGGCGGACGGGUGAGUAAUGCCUAGGAAUCUGCCUGGUAGUGGGGGACACGUUUCGAAAGGAACGCUAAUACCGCAUACGUCCUACGGGAGAAAGCAGGGGACCUUCGGGCCUUGCGCUAUCAGAUGAGCCUAGGUCGGAUUAGCUAGUUGGUGAGGUAAUGGCUCACCAAGGCGACGAUCCGUAACUGGUCUGAGAGGAUGAUCAGUCACACUGGAACUGAGACACGGUCCAGACUCCUACGGGAGGCAGCAGUGGGGAAUAUUGGACAAUGGGCGAAAGCCUGAUCCAGCCAUGCCGCGUGUGUGAAGAAGGUCUUCGGAUUGUAAAGCACUUUAAGUUGGGAGGAAGGGUUGUAGAUUAAUACUCUGCAAUUUUGACGUUACCGACAGAAUAAGCACCGGCUAACUCUGUGCCAGCAGCCGCGGUAAUACAGAGGGUGCAAGCGUUAAUCGGAAUUACUGGGCGUAAAGCGCGCGUAGGUGGUUUGUUAAGUUGGAUGUGAAAUCCCCGGGCUCAACCUGGGAACUGCAUUCAAAACUGACAAGCUAGAGUAUGGUAGAGGGUGGUGGAAUUUCCUGUGUAGCGGUGAAAUGCGUAGAUAUAGGAAGGAACACCAGUGGCGAAGGCGACCACCUGGACUGAUACUGACACUGAGGUGCGAAAGCGUGGGGAGCAAACAGGAUUAGAUACCCUGGUAGUCCACGCCGUAAACGAUGUCAACUAGCCGUUGGGAGCCUUGAGCUCUUAGUGGCGCAGCUCACGCAUUAAGUUGACCGCCUGGGGAGUACGGCCGCAAGGUUAAAACUCAAAUGAAUUGGACGGGGGCCCGCACAAGCGGUGGAGCAUGUGGGUUUAAAUUCCGAAGCAAACGCCGAAGAAACCUUUACCAGGCCUUGGAAAUCCCAUGAACCUUUCCCAGAGAUGGAAUGGGUGGCCCUUCCGGGAAGCAUUGGAGACCAGGUG
rnacentral:rRNA from 1 species